CCUGGGCCACAGCUAACAUUUGUCCUUGUUUCUGUGGCUUGUUGUUUCAGGGACACUGCAGCAGCCCCAGUCAUGCACCAGCACAUGGCAAGAUGAGGUUGGCAGCGAGGUCAGCCAUGCUGUCAAGGCUGCUCAGCCUCUGUGCAGAUGGCCAGGAGCAACAGGAUGGAAAGCAUCACGCACUCAAACUUCACACUCUUUUUACACUACACUACAAGAUGGGAACUGAGGUCACAGAAAUUGCAGGUUGUCUCACCUCAGUGCAAGGGAAUGAAAAAGCAAUAAUCACACAAUGGACAAAAUCAAAAGGUGGCUACACUGCAUACCUGUGGCCUCGAUCCUCCAUGGGAACCAGAGCUUGGCCUGCUUUGGAUGGACAGUCUCCUCAUUGAGUGCUUGUCCAGCUUACGUGAACCCUCUCUACUUAAAGGAAGAUAAAUAUUUCCAAGAGGAAAAAUAAAUGGCCCAACACGUAUUCCAAAUGACAACAAAAAAAUCCACAAAAAGAAGAUUUUGUGUAUGCAUGUUUUGAUCACUGCAGAUUUUUCAUUUACUGCAGAUCGAACCAACAUCUCCAAAUGCAGCUGCGGGCUAUUUAUUGGCUGAAGACAGUUGUUUCAUAGCACAUUUUCAGUUUCAGAAAUUUGGAAUUUUCUGGUUGAAAGUACCAGGCUGAAUAACAAUGGGUUUUCUGCAAUCUCAGCAGGCAUUACGAGGAUUUGGGAUCUCCAGAUCACGUUGGUAGCUAUCCAGGCCUAUAAUCUACUCAUGCUGCUGCUAAAACUGAAAAACCAGAGCUUUCAGCAAACUGUGUUCCCUUUCUCUAAGAAACUGGGAAGGAACCUUCAGUGUGAAUGAAAAAAAAAAAGCCUCCAAAAAACCCCAAAGAUCACAAGAUCUACCUCUGAGAGUUUCUGAGCUGUUUUCUGUCCUUCUACAUACGGCUGUAUGAGUAAACCUGGCUUUGGAACUUAAAUGAAUCUUUAGACAUUUCUUUUCAAAGUUUGCACUUCUCCAAAUUCGGUUUUAAAUGAUUCAGUCUUAAAAUAACCAUGAAAACUAAGACUAUCAACAUUUAAGUGGUUCUCCUUGGAAUAGCCAGGAGCUCUCCUCUGCAGAGUUGCUAUAAAAAGCUGCUAGAAUUGUAAGAGCAACAUAAAGCCAAGGUUCCUGGAUGUUAAGUUUUGCAAUAUUUUCUCUAAUAAAAUAUUGAAGGAAAAGAUCUAAGUUGUUGAAAAGAGUUUCUAUCAGAUUUUAAUGGAAAUAGAUACUUGAGUUUAACAUCAUCAGUUCUUUACAGCACCUGUUCCUAUGUGAUAGGAAAACACAUGAUUGCUGCAUCUGGCUGGGUCAAAACCAGAUAUGUGGACAGACUGGGAGGACUCCCUGAGAGCAGCCCUAUGGAAGGAUGGGGGUCCUG